AUGCAGGGAAGGAGGAAGGGAAGGAAAGAUAUUCAGUUUACCGUCACAGAGGAGAGAAGAAACUAGAACAUAUUCAAACUAUUUAACAAGCUGACAUCUGAGAAAUUUUGA